AACGAACGCUGGCGGCAGGCCUAACACAUGCAAGUCGAGCGAAGCCUUCUGGCCUAGCGGCGGACGGGUGAGUAACGCGUGGGAACGCGCCCGUUGGUACGUAGUAGCGCCGGGAAACUGGGCGUAAUAGUGUCUGUUGCCGAGAGACGAAAGAGUUAUCGCCAAAGGAUCGGCCCGCGUUGGAUUAGGUAGUUGGUGGGGUAAUGGCCUACGAAGCCGACGAUCCAUAGCUGGUUCGAGAGGAUGAUCAGCGACACUGAGACUGAGAAGCGGUCCAGACUCCUACGGGAGGCAGCAGUGGGGGAUCUUAGACAAUGGGGGAAACCAUGAUCUAGCCAUGCCGGGUGAUCGCUGAAGGCCUUAGGGUUGUAAAGAUCUUUAAGUGGGGAAGAUAAUGACUGUACCCACAGAAGAAGCCCCGGCUAACUCCGUGCCAGCCGCCGCGGUAACAC
rnacentral:rRNA from 1 species